UACGAAGGGGGCUAGCGUUGUUCGGAAUCACUGGGCGUAAAGCGCGCGUAGGCGGGUCGUUAAGUCGGGGGUGAAAUCCCGAGGCUCAACCUCGGAACUGCCUUCGAUACUGACGACCUUGAGUCCGGGAGAGGUGAGUGGAACUCCUAGUGUAGAGGUGAAAUUCGUAGAUAUUAGGAAGAACACCAGUGGCGAAGGCGGCUCACUGGCCCGGUACUGACGCUGAUGUGCGAAAGCGUGGGGAGCAAACAGG
rnacentral:rRNA from 2 species